AUUGAACGCUGGCGGCAGGCCUAACACAUGCAAGUCGAGCGGAUGAAGGGAGCUUGCUCCUGGAUUCAGCGGCGGACGGGUGAGUAAUGCCUAGGAAUCUGCCUGGUAGUGGGGGAUAACGUCCGGAAACGGGCGCUAAUACCGCAUACGUCCUGAGGGAGAAAGUGGGGGAUCUUCGGACCUCACGCUAUCAGAUGAGCCUAGGUCGGAUUAGCUAGUUGGUGGGGUAAAGGCCUACCAAGGCGACGAUCCGUAACUGGUCUGAGAGGAUGAUCAGUCACACUGGAACUGAGACACGGUCCAGACUCCUACGGGAGGCAGCAGUGGGGAAUAUUGGACAAUGGGCGAAAGCCUGAUCCAGCCAUGCCGCUUGUGAAGAAGGUCUUCGGAUUGUAAAGCACUUUAAGUUGGGAGGAAGGGCAGUAAGUUAAUACCUUGCUGUUUUGACGUUACCAACAGAAUAAGCACCGGCUAACUUCGUG
rnacentral:rRNA from 1 species